AUAUAUUCUUCUCUUGUGGCUCCUGUCUAUUAAAUUCUGGUUCUUUUUUUGUUUGACGUCUCCAUUGUGUUGAAUUAAGGAUUAUAAAUUCUUUGGGGCAAGAGCCAAUCAUUUUGCAUUUCUAGACUACUAAAACAGAAAUCAACAGAUUGUGCUCCAGGAAAGUUAUACAUACAAUGAAGUGAAAAAUGUGGUCAGAUAAGUACUGUUAAUAUCCAAGUAAUGCAUAUUAGGUUAUGCAGAAAAUGAGGUUACUAACAAGAAUUGAACUGAUAGUGAUUAACAGGAAUGAUAUAUUGGAGUGUUAUUGAACAAAUCAGUUCUGAGCAACAGUAAUGAAAAGGAUAAGUUUCAUGCACAUCUGAAAAAAAUUAUAAAAAGUCUCCCAGAUAAUUUGCCCAUGAAUAAGCAAGGAAUACCAAAUAAUGUACAGUACUGGUAAGAAAGUCCAACUCAGAAAGUAAAAAAAGGAAUGAUAAGGUAGAAGCCCUCAAGUCAAGCUCAAUGUUUAGUUACUUUAUACUUGCAUAACUUACAUGGCAACAAUGUGGAUGUCAUUUGUCAUUAUAUUCUUCCAGGAUGUUUUCUUAACUUCAGUAACCCUGGGAUUUUGUAGGGGUUGUCAUUCAGGUUCUAUCUACGUAGAUUCUGUUUAGCUUUUUGAGAUCCUUUAGCUGCUGUAAACAGUCUCAGAAUGUAAUGUAAUGGUCCUCUCAGGUUAUGUGAUUUCUCACAUACUACAGUACACUAUCAAAAUAAAUGCCAAUGAAAUAUUAACAAAAAAAGCAUCACCAUGAAGUGAGUUGGGUCAAAAGAGAGUGACUGGCCCAAGGUCACCCAGAUGGCUUUUAUGGCUAAGGCAGGAUUUCAACACACCAUCGCCUGGUGCCUUAACCACUACACCAAAAGGAAGCCAGCUCCUCAUUGAAUCAGUCCCAAAAAUCAACCUCCAGAUGACACCUGUCUUCUUUCAAAGGAUACAGCUUGUGCUGAGGGCCAUACACCAGAAAUGGAGAGACCAGACUCAAAUAAACAAAUAAGCAACAGUUUGUGCUUAAAAUCUCCUGAAACCAAGGGGAGGAGAGCUUAAGGGCCCAGUGACAAUAGCUCACAGAAAUGAGUUGUGUUCUGCUUUGAAGAACAUGGCUGGCUGCUAUCACCCAAUUAGCAGUUGCUGGCCAGUGACAUCUUGUCCAGUUUCUCUCUUCUACUGUGUUGGGGUGCUGGCUUGAAGCAAAAGAAACUCUAAAAGGGCAUCACACUGUCUGGUUUGGUGUACUCACAAAACUUUCCAGCAAGCUGAUAUCUGCUUUGGGAGCCACUUUGGUGAAGAACUGAGCAAUAAAUCUAAGGAAUAUAACAACAAAACAGUAACAUCUGUGUCUUCAUUCCUCACUUGGAAAACAGAUCCCACUGUUUGAAAAAAGGAAACAAAACUUGAUACUGUACACUUAUUCAAAUUUAAAAGAGAUGCAUGAACUCUGGGGCAUGUUUCAUGCCAAUCCAAUUAAUAUAAGUUUAUAUUUAUUAAUAUUUUUCUCAGAAAACUUCAGGUGAUUAGUCUUGCUACACCACUGUGGGCCAAGUUAGGAAGAGAGAUGAUUUGGGUCCUGUCCAUUAGUGCUUGGCAGUAUGACAUUACCAUGUACCCUGCAAUGUGGAUGGCAGCUGGUUUUAUAUGAAAGAAAAAAAGAGAGAGA